AUAUUUAUAUUAUUAUUGUAUGGCUGCUGCAAAACUAUCUGGAAGAAGGUGCUAAAGCCAGUCUUUAAUCAAGGACACAAGGGCUAACUAUUUGGAUGUCUUGUUGGGUUCAGAUAUAGUUCCAGUGACUCAAGUCCUUCAGACAGCACAGCUCACACAGUGUUUGAUGGGGGAUUGGUCGGAUGACAGCUGGAACUGUAGUCAUCACAGGAGGAAUCCUAGCAACCUUUAUACUUCUGUGUAUAAUUGGAGUUCUGUGUUACUGCAGACUUCAGUAUUAUUGCUGCAAGAAAGACGAACUCCAUGAAGAGGGAGAGGAGGAUACAGAUCAUAGACCUCACUCGCACUUCCCCUGUCAUGACUGCUCCUCAGGACACCGUGAUGGGUUACCUCCACCCUCUACGGCACCCGCCUACUCCCCAUACGGCUCUCCUUACUAUAUACGGACUGCAGACUCCAUGUGCAAUGGAAGGGAUAGAAGUUCAUACACUCCUACCCACUACACAGACCCAACCAUUGUGAUGGGUGGAACACCAAAUUUUUCUAGGAGCAUCCACGCUCUCAGUACCCAGGUCUGAAGGAAAUGGAUUUCACCACAAUGCUGAUAGCAGGAGGAUUCGAAAAGCUUUAUCACUGCCAAAAAGAUCACACUGGAGGGGUCAUAUCUCUCUAUUAACUAUGGGAACGUAAUUCGUUUUAGAGACAGUUUUCAGUAACAAUGACCAAGAGAGGCAGAAUGACUCCUAGGCUUCCAUAGAGGACCAUCACAUUGAGUUUUGGCACUUCACUUCUUCCAGGGACUGUGUGUCUCGCACUGUUUCAUCCACGCUGGAUUUGAGUUAACGAUGUCUCAUGGACACAGAGAGAUUGCCAAAUGUUUUAUUAAAAAAUCCACAUUCCAGAACCAAUUUGAGUACCUGGAGUAGAUGAUGGGUAAAAGGACUCUUACGUCCAUAUUGGUCCUCAUUUUACAUAUUUAAUAAGCAUGUAUAUUACAUUCAACAGGGCCUGUCUGAGGUUCUGGAAAGAAGAAAAUGAGUUGCUAGAAUGGACUCCAUGGCACGUUCAUCAUUUCCACCUGGGGAUAUUUAAUUAUUAUUAAAUUGACAGUGUCCCCUAUACAUUUGGAAAUACUCAUCACUAUAUAGAAGUUAUGAAAUGCUGCACUGCUCUUUUAUAACAUUGCACAGAACUACCCCUUGUGAACACCCGGUGGCCGCCCAUUCUGGAAUCCCAAUGUGACUUUCAUUUUAGAACUAUAAAAUUCUUUGUGAAGUUUUUUUUUUUUUCCUUUUCUUCUAUCUAAAAUUAUAAUGAGAUUUGAAAAUAUCUUUAUUGAGACAGGCAUAAAAAAAAAACACCAUCUUAAACUUAAAAGCAAUUUUUCUCUGAAUUUGAUUAUUAUUAUCAAUCACAGCUUUGUGGGUAGCAGGAUAAUACGUUCUAAAGCUUUGGGUAAAUGCUCCAAAAUAUAAAAUGAACUUUAUUAUUAUUCACAUUUAUAUAGAGCCAAUAUUUCUUGCAGUGAUUUACAAUCAACGGGGCUAUAAAACAGCAAAUAAAUGACAAAUAAAUAAAUGUGAACAUAAAGGAAGGUGAGAAGGGACCCUGGUAAAAA